rfam:Monosiga brevicollis MX1 MONBRscaffold_17 genomic scaffold, whole genome shotgun sequence.
CCUCCCGUAGUGUAGCGGUUAGCACUUUGGACUUUGAAUCCAACGUCCCGAGUUCGAAUCUCGGCGGGAGGU